GGGGGCGUGGUGGAAUGGUAGACACAACGGACUUAAAUUUUGAGCAAAUUUUUGUAAGUUCUCAAAUUCAGAAAAACUUUUUUCUAAAAUGUUGAAAAUAGUAAUCCUGAGCCAAAUUAACUUUUUGAAAAAAUAAAAUGUUAAAAGGUGCAGAGACUCGAUGGGAACUACCUACUAGGGUAAAGAGAGAGUCCAUAUUUUUUGAAAAAUUGAUAAAAACUUUAUCAAAAAACAAAAAAUAGAAAAUCCGUUGACUAUUUACAGUCGUGAGGGUUCAAGUCCCUCCGCCCCCA
rnacentral:tRNA from 1 species